UGUCUAGGGGCUCAAACCUAAAGAACCCAAAUAUCUAAACGGAGAAAUUCAAUACUACCGUUAAACGUAGUGUGCACUUUUCUCUUAGUAAGACGCCGUGAUCCAUUAGAAAUUGAURCAUUCAAAAUGUAUAUUGGGUCAUCAAUAGGCCAGUAUGAAGUUUAUCGGAACAAAUGGCAUGAUCUUUCACGGUUGUGUGUAUUGUCUGUUAAGCAUAUUGUGUCCUGUAAUGACUGUCUGAUGGAUUUUAAAGACUAAUAUCAAUGAUGUUACGGCAUCACUUGCCUCRGCGAGUAUGUAUGUGUCUGAUCAACGGCGGUUAAAUUUGGGAUACCUUUUGGACCCGUCUUGAAACACGGACCAAGGAGUCUAUCUAGUAUGCGAGUAAAUGGAUAGUUUAUGAAAUCUAUUUGCGUAAUAAACUUGACUGUUCAAUGGGACUACGAGUAUCGUUAAAAAAUACUCUUCCAUCCCGGGGUAUUUUUAUCAACAUAUGCUUGCAUAUGGAAAAUAUACCAUGAGCACACUGGAUACGACCCGAAAGAUGGUGAACUAUGCUUGAUCAGGUCGAAGUCAGGGGAAACCCUGAUGGAGGACCGAAGCAGUUCUGACGUGCAAAUCGAUUGUCAGAAUUGAGCAUAGGGGCGAAAGACCAAUCGAACCAUC
rnacentral:rRNA from 1 species